ACGAAAGAUUGACGAUUGGUAAGAAAUCCACAACAAGUUGUUCUUCAUGACGAUGUAUCUGAGGGUCUGUAGCUCAGUUGGUUAGAGCACACGCUUGAUAAGCGUGGGGUCACAAGUUCAAGUCUUGUCAGACCCACCAUCUGCAAACAGAAAAUCAGAACAUUGAAUCCUAUAUGAUAAGCUGGGGACUUAGCUUAGUUGGUAGAGCGCCUGCUUUGCACGCAGGAGGUCAGGAGUUCGACUCUCCUAGUCUCCACCACUCAUUGCGAUGCAAUGAGUUAAACAUUAAGCAAACGAACUGAUAGCUUAUAGAGCUUAGUGAUUAAGUUGCGUAUAAUGCGCGGCAUUGUUAUUAAGCUCUGUGAUUUAUCACAGUUGACUGUAGUCCGACGAGGAUACAGUGAAUCAUUAACAGAAUAUAUUUGAGUUGAAAUAAUUUGUUCAAACUCGUUUCAAGUAGGCAACUACAAGAAAUGAGUUCUAGCGAUUAAACUGAAUCAAGCGUUUUGGUAUAUGAAUCUAAUUGAAGCUGUACAGUGCUUAAGUGCACGAAACUCUAACUGUGAGAAAGGCUAGUUUACUAGUUGAUCUUGUUGUUAAUCUUACUUGUAAGGAUUAACGACUGUUUGGGGUUGUAU
rnacentral:tRNA from 1 species